GCUCCAAUAGCGUAUAUUUAAGUUGUUGCAGUUAAAAAGCUCGUAGUUGGAUUUCGGGUGGGUCUCAGCGGUCUGCCUCUGGUAUGUACUGUUGGGGCUCACCUUUCUGCCGGGGACGGGCUCCUGGGCUUCACUGUCCGGGACUCGGAAUCGGCGAUGAUACUUUGAGUAAAACAGAGUGUUCAAAGCAAGCCUGCGCU
rnacentral:rRNA from 1 species